CCGUGCGCGCGCGUCAGCACCUGCGGCCGUUGGGCGCGCGCGCGGCCGUUGCUCCCUCAGGCGGCGCCGUGCCGCCGCGCGUUCCGCCGAGAGGUGGCCCUCGUGCGUUCGGAGCCGCGAGUGCAGCGCGGACCGGAGUGAACGGCUCCGGGAGGAGGAAGAGAAAGCGGGAAGAAAACGUGCGUCCUCCCAGGAACGGAGCGGGAGCGCAGACACUGCGAUUUCUUGGAGGUGGUGCUAUGGCAGAAUGGAGCAGCAGUCCUUGUUCUGCAGAGGAGACUGGAGACGCAUCAUCAGAACUGUGUGUAAAUGUGGCUCGGCUGUCCAGCUUCAACCAAGAGAAAGGCAAGUACCGAUUACAGAUUGCAUUAAAUGACAUUACUCAUAGUACUGCAUAGCAACUCAAACCAGACUGAUUUCUCACACAAAAAAAACAGCUUGAAUCUGACUAAACUGAACUCAGAGGGACCUUGUGGAGGUUAUCCAGCCCAGCUCCCAGCUCAGAGCAGCUACCUGCUGCUUGGUAACUUGUCUCGCUAAGUUCUGAAAGUCAACAGAGCUGGCAGUGUGCAUCAUCUCCGGGGAACUUCACUCAGAAUUCUCCCCCUGCAUCCCCUCUCUUCAAAAACAACGUCCCGUGCUGCUGCUACCUGUGACUGCUCUGUCCUGCGGCUCUGCUGUAACGCAGGACAAUGCUGCUCUCCGCAGAUCUGAAAUCCCACUUGUUACGAUGCUUUCACACAGUAUCCAAAUUGGCCAGGUUAUCAGGAAGCCUCUAAAACAAAGUUCAGAGCUCUAACCCUAAUCUGAAAGUUUCCAAUUCUCUGCAAAACAAAUUCUUUGUCUUACAUUUCUUUUGAGAAACCUUUUCAAGAAUUGUACACCAUUUUAACCACUAGAAAGAAAUGUGUUCAUAAAUAACUAAAUGAAUUUACAGCGACAUCCGCUAUUUAUUUGUUCAUAGAGCUUCAUAGCAAUGGGACUCUAUGAAGAAAAUUGGGAACAGGCUGUGGCAUGCCAGGAAACACUUCAAAGAUGCUCUUAAUAUAGCUCAAGCACCACAUCCAGCAGGUGAGCCGACCAGCCUAUGCAAGUCCUGUGCACGAAGCUCUUGGAUCUCCUUGUCAAUGCCUCAAAAACCUGCAGUGGGGACAGCGAUCUCUGGAACAGUAAUAAGCUUUCAGAGCACUCUGUAGUCCCCGCAAAAAGCAUGGCAGAUGAUAUAUAUGUCCCAAAUGACUGGUUUUACUUUGCAAAGUUCCUAGAAGUGUUUAAUCUCCUCUACGUUGUUUCUUUCAACUAGAAAUAAAAUGGAGACCUAGAUUAACAUUUCCAACUUAGAAGUUCAAUGAUUCAUCUGUUUUCUAACAAUUUUGUUUACGGUGCCUGAGGUAACAACAGAAGUACCACCAAAGAUCACUACAGGAGGUGGUGGAAGUUUUAUGAUGUUAGUUUGAUGUUUGUCUUAAUGAGACCAAACCCUUUGACGAUCUACAACUGCAAGACUUUGAAGACUUCCCUGUAGCUCCCCACUGGCUGGUUAUCUGCGUGCACUGUGUGCAUGGAUUCAUCACAUGCAGGCUGUGUGGAUAUGAAUGCCAAGAGGCAUUGGCACAAACUUUCAGCACUCUCCUAACUUCACUAAAUUAUUCUCUGCUGUCCUUGUCAUUAUCCUAGAGUCAAAAUGAAUUCUACAGUCAAUACAAUUCUCACACUACUUAUUCCAGUUAGCCAAAGCUGCUAUUGGAACUGGGCAAAUAUGACUUUGAUUGGCUUAGAAGUAUUAAUGAGGGCAUUACCAAGUCCACUGCAAACUUUAAGAAGCCAUUUAAAGGAAAAGAGCACCCAGGUUUCAUCAUUUAUAUACCAGCUGUCAUGUUUAGGUUCACGGCUUCAGAAAGACAAUCUCUUUCCACCUCAGUCUUCACUCAAAUUCUUCUUCUCCAAAUUGCAUCUAAUACAGCAGAGUCAAAGAGCAAAUUAUGUCACCUGACCCAGAAGCUAAGAGUACACUGUUGUAUUAUAUUUGGUGACAGUGAACCAAAGUCGGCGUUUGAACAGUAGUUCUACUGCUCACACCCCAUGCAGUAUGCAGUGACCUGACUUUUUAUAUAGUAGUGACAAAAGGUCAGAAUGUGAAUGCAGUUAUAUCAUCCAUAAUAGAUUUACACCCCAAAGCAUCUUCCCAAGAACUGCUAUACUUUUUUUCACAGAUACAGUAAUAAUAAGAGAAUGCUUAAAUCCAAAUGUUUAAGCUUAAGGUAAAAAAUAAACAGCAAAACAAAAAGCUCUCACAUAUCCCAACUUCCUGAACACUGGAAAUUAAGCAUGAAGAUAUAUAUCGCAAAGAGAAUAUUUUGGCUUCAAAAACAAAACAAUACUCUUUGCAGAAGAAAAUCCAACCUUUUUACUUCUCAGAUCAAGAAUGCUUCUAAGAUGCUCACCAGCAUCCCAGCUAACAAAGCAAGACCUCAGGAAGGGAUAUCACUUAUUGCUUUUUUAUGAGUACACAACAAAGAUAAUAAGUAAAUCCAACUUAAUCCCUGGAUCAACAUCCAUACUCUAAAAUAACCAGAAGAAGUAUGUUAUUAGUAGGGUGCCUGAAGACUCUGAUGUUCUAAACAGUUCAGUGCUGUAAUCCACAGCCCAUGCCCUCACAAUUUCUCAUGAACUCCAAGACGAACAUGAACUGGAAUUCCAUUUUCCAUACUGAAAUUAGCUAAAGUCCAAUAGUGCAGAAACUUUAGGUCAGGAGAGUUUAAGUUGCCUAAAGCCACUUUCAAAGAAGUCUUAUCUGUUAAACUAUUGUAUGUUUCAAUAUUUCAUUCUCUACAAAGCUGCUUGAUAAAAAAUAAAUAAGAGAGACCAACUGUAGAAUUGUUUGCUGUAGAGUUCGGCAUCGAUUGCUAAACUUAACAGCUUUAACAUCCUUAUAUCUGCUAUUUUUUAGUAUUAUCUCUAAUUACAAUUUCAAAUGAAAAAAGUCACUAAACCUUCUCCUUGUAAAACAAUCACUGUUCUCAUGUCCCUCCAUAUUAAAUGAAAAAGAAGAGUCCUCCCCUUACUCAGAACUGGCAGCAUCCAAGAAUAAGCUGGUACGGAAAGAAACAUAGCGGCCUUCAGAAAUACGUAAAAACUUAAGACCUGCUCAACAGAAAGUUAAUAAAUACAGAGAAAAAAGCCUCUCGUAUUCAAAGACUGCAAAGGUGCAGUCCAAAAACUGAGAAAGCCUGACUGCAACAAUUUCAUUCAUUCAGUUAAGACUGAACAUUUUCAGAGAUCUUAUGGAAAAUAUUUAUGCAGUUGUAGUGAAAGUAAUAACUCAGGAAUUCAUGUAACUCAUAUGAUGUGAGUAAAAGAUAGUUUGUAAACUGCUCUUCAUGGUAAAGAACACAGUAUUUCUACAUUACAAGGAAAACACUGCUAAUGGAUUUUAACAUAGAAGUGCAACAACGCCUUAUUCUUAAAAAACGAAAGGGAUAACCCUUAGUAAGAGCUGUUUAACCAGCUGGAACAUCUGCUUCAAAUGUUAAAAUAAUUUAAACUCCAACCGUUGACCAGGUAGGUCUGAUAACAGUCACCAAACAUGGUUGCUUCUGUUAUAACCACCAGCUGCAACUGUGCCGACUGACAGAGUCACCGGUCGGUCAGAUGAUGUCCACCGUCCUACUUCUGGUUUACUAUGACCUUGCCUGGACUACUGGGACAGCCAGAAAAACCCUUACAGCACAGGCUGAAACAUUUCUAAAUAUUAUUUUCUAAUAUCCUUCUGCAUAAUGCAGAAAAAGCUCUUAUGAAGCACUGCAAAAACACAUCAGAACUAGAGUAACACACAGCUUACCAGCUCCUAAGUCUGAAAACAUUUCAAGCUGUAAUUUCUCUCCUACAUAGUAAUUUACAUUUUAUUUGUAUAUUAGACAUUUUGUUCUUCAACAGCACAAUAAAAAUGCAAUUACUUUAGCAUUCCUUCUGAUAGCUGAGACAUUUCUAUCAUCUAACAGUCACUGAAGUUCAUUUAUCAAAGUGUUUCUAAACACUGGCUAAAGCAGUUCACCAACACCGAAACACACCAAGUGCUUAAUCAUUAAUAAAUCAGUAAAAAAAAAAAGCUGAAAAAUCUAAUGCCUCUCCUUCCUCAAAGACAUAUUUUUGAAUUCCAUUAAAAGAUAUUUUUGCAAAAGCAAACAAAAAAAAUCCCAGACCCUACACUAUACUAUACUCUAUUUUUUUAGAGACCCUGUUAGAAAAUUACUGAUAAUCUGAUCAAAACAACAUAUCCACUAAGUAUUAUUUAUUAAGAUAUUAUUUCCAUAGCCCAGGUUUUUCUUCAAAUUUUAAUUCCAUUAUUUCUUUUCUGGCAACAGAUCGCAGUUCUUGGCUUCUGUGGAUUGUUUCAAUACUCCCUUUCCUUCUCAAUUCCUCUUCCCACAUUCACUAGUUUUUUCCAUCUGCCAUGUAUCAGGAAAUCACUUCUCCUACUGUCCCUAUCCCAACUUUCACUUUACCCAUCAAAUGUUCUCCAUGUACUUUUCCUGUUGUAUCUUUUCUUCCCUUGACUGUUGCCUCAAAGAGAUGUUCCCAAUCUGCCAUAACAUCUAGAUGGUGAGUCUCUUGACUACAUCCACUUACUGCUACAGAACUUCAUCUUUUGGACUACAUUCUGGCCCCGCUACUGCCCAAAAUAUUUAAGAAACAGUAAAUUUAGAAAUGUUAAUCAGUCUGUUUUAGUCUGAAAAGAAAAAAAAGAAUGGUACGUAUUGUACAGCGCUUUAUCCAUCCUCGUUUUCAGAUUUCUAGUUUCUCCCUGUCUUGCCCACAUCUGCUUCUGCUCAGAACGUUCUCAGUGCGGAGAAAGAUGUGCUGCUGACUGCUGUAGAUUGUUACCACCAACAUUUCAACACUUCCCAGAGUCCACCUUCCUGUUUUUCCAGUUCUGUGCAAAUGACUUUUUAAAACCAGGCCUGUUUUACAGGACCUGGUAAGAAAGCAGUCAAAUAAAUGGUUAAGCUGGUAAAAUUGAGGAAGGGUGGAACAUCUGGCAGAGGAAGGAGGGAGUCAUUAACCACUCAACUCAGAUCUGCCGCAGCCAGAACAGCUCAGCUUGUCUCACCAGGCUGAUCCGUGUGCAGGAGAAAUCACCAGUUACACUGCAUUAUUCACAAAAGCAGAGAAAGAUGGCUGAAACCAUCUACAGAUGUAGAGCGAUUCUCUGAAGCUUGUUUCAUAUUGGAAGAUUUUUAAUUCCUGUAGCCACAUGGGUGGUUUACAUGUUGCACGAACUGACUGCAUUUGCUCACUUUUAUAAACUGACAGCAUUUGCAGCUCACAGUAUAACUGCUGCUAAACUGACACAGAUGCAAAGAAGAAUUAAUGUAAAUAACCCAUACAAAUUGAGAAACAACCAAGACUGAGCAGUAAGUAAUGACUUGUCAUUAAUUAUUUACCUGAAACAAGGUGACCGUUACCACUACAAAUAGGUUAUUAAAAUCCUUUUGCUGAACAGAAACCCCUGAUGAAAUUGCAGCAUGUGAUACAUUAACCUACAAAACAGUUUUCAGUCAUUCCCAUGAUGUCACAUAGUUGUGUGAUGUUGUAACUAUAUUCAGUAUUCACCUAAAAUGUAUCAGCUGAACUCCAGAAACACUGGACUUUUUUGCAGAAGUAAAAGCAAGGCCCAAACCCACUUCUUACUGCUUGGCUUUGCUUUAGGACCAAUUUCUCACUAUUUCAUGAUAGUGAGUAUUGUUAUCACAUUCAUCCCUUGUGUCACACCACGAGGGCAUUCCUUCUGAUAAUCUGGUUUAAGUUAU